UUUGCGAUUCUGAGUUCUUGGUUUCUAAAUGGAGUUUGACUGAGCUUUGGUUACCAUUUGAGUUGUGAUCCGCGGUUCCUGUAGAAGUUCGGCAAUUCUGUUUGAUUGUGUAUUAGUUGACCAGAGGGAGGGAUCGGUGAGACAUUUGAAGAAGAAAGAAAAUUCUAAUAUUUUUGAUAUAAGUGGAGCAACUAAUUAAGCAAUUGAUUUCUCGUUCUUGCUCUCAAUAAAGGAAGUUUGAUUUGCGACUUUAAUUUUGGACAAGCUUUCCGGUGCUGAUUCGAGUUUCUAUCCGUGGUUUCGUUAUAUUUUUGAGUUCAAAGCAGUGAAACAAUCAAUUUUCAGCUACACUGAGGUUCAAUUCUAACUUUAUUUCUCCUCAAUGCUUGAUUACUUUAUCAUUUGCUUGACAUCAUGUUACUUUUUGUUUUGAUUGAAACUGCUAUUGCCUUAUUGAAGUAGGACUAGUUUAUCAUUUACUUUAGUUGUUCCUCUUGGUGAAAGUCUGUUGAAAAUUAUUAAACGUACUCUUUGGUUGUGGGCGAUGAUUCUGAACGAAAUGAAAUUGAACUUAGAACAUAUUUGAAUUUAUGUUUGUUACCUUUAUUUUUUCUAUUGGAUCACUAAUUAUAUUUUAGGCUCGAUAACAAAUAGGCAAAUCUUGAAUAAUUGGGGUAGGUAAACAUAUACUAAGAAGAAUUAUGCAUAUUUUAGUUUUUGAGGUGCGAGGUCAUCUCUUUUAUUUUAUAUUCAGGGGAAUGCCCUAUAGAGUUUUUAUAUAUUAUUAUCUGGAGUAUGUCCCGUAGAACUAUGUAUAUAUUUUGGAGGCCUAGACGAGCAUGGUGGAGAAGUCAUAGUAUUGGUUAGCUUAGGAUUUUCUUUUCUUUUCCUUUUCAUUUUCUAUUAUUAAGUAGGGACGACCUUGAGACUUUUGUGUAUUUAUUUUUCUUUUCUGUGUUUAUUUUUAUCAAAUAUUUUAAAAGGCAACUCGAUCAUGUACGCAACUGUACUAGUUACGGGACUAGGAGAAUGCCUAACACCUUCUCCCCGAGAGAAAUGAACCCCCUUACCUAAAUCUCUGGUGCAGAAUUAGGUUUGGAGUCCAAAGUGUUUUAAAAAGGAAAAUUUAUUUUUCUUAAAAUGGUGAUCUGGCACACCGAAACCGAUGUCAGGUAGCGACCCUGAAAAAUCCUUUUGAACAUAUCUUUUUGUUCAAAAUUGAAAAUCCUUCCGAGCUUCCCAAAUUCUUUUAUUAUUUUUUAAUAGGGUUAAUUGAAUUUGGUAAAAAAGAGGCGUGACAGCUCUAGUGACUGCUGGGGAGUUGCAUGUUCGAGCUAGUACUUGAUCUUUCUUUUUAGAAUAUUCGAUUGAGGUUUUAUGUAUUUUGUGUGCUUUAUUUGAUUUUUAGUUUGUUUAUGCCGUUUUAUUUGCUAGUUGCUUAUUUGUUUACAACAUUUCCUUUAUGUGUUACUUCUUAAUAAAUUGUCAUCAUUUGCAUCACCUCGUGUCUUCUUUAUGCAACAAUUUGUAACGAUCUGACCGCUCGUUUUGAGAAAUUAAGCUCCGUGGCAUAAGCGCUAGAAUAUCUUUAGAAUAUAAGUGUCGACUUGCGUGCUUGGUGGAAUUCGACUAACGGAUGCUUUAGAGUCAAAUUGGAAGAAGGAAUAUAGUUUUGAAAGUUUGAACGCUGAAAAUUUGACCGGAAUUAGACUUUUGGUCAAAAUGGCCCCGGAAUUGGUCGUGGAUGAUGUCAACAACUUUGUAUGGUGGUUUUGGACGUAGGCGUGUGUCGGGAUUCAGAUUUGGAGGUUCGAAGGAUAAAUUUAGGCUUUUCAGCGAAAGUUGGAAAAAUGGAAGUUUGGAAAAUGAGAAAGUUUGACCCAUAGUUGACUUUUGUGAUAUCAGGGUCGAAAUGUAAUUUUGAUUGGAGCAGCUCCAUUAUGUCAUUUUUGGAUGUGUCUGCAAAAUUUGGCAUCAUUCCGGUUUAAUUUGGUAGGUUUCAGCACGAGUUUAGAAAUUUGAGGAUUUGAAAGUUUAUAAGUUCAAUUUAUAGUUUGAUUCAUCGUUUUGGUGUUGUUUUUUGUGAUUUGAAACAUCGAGUGAGUCUGUGUUAGGUUAUAUGACUUGUUUGUUUGAUUAGACGGGGUCCCGAGAGCCUCAGGUGCGUUUCGGAUGGACUAUGGAUAACUUUUCCCUAUUUUGGAACUGCUGUUUGCUGCUUAUGAUAUCCUUCAUCGCGAUCGUGAACUGCCUCUCGUAUUCCCGAUGCAUUGCUGCUGACUGCCUCGAAAUCCUUCUUCGCAUUCGCAUCUUUUCCUCCACUUUCGUGAAGCCCUACAUUCUUCUUCUUUGCGUUUGUGUCUCUCCUUUAGCAAUCGCGAAGCCUCACAUUUCUCUUCUCCGUGUUCGCGAGCUCAUCAUCGUGUUCGCGAUGAGCAACCUGGGCAGCCUUAAAAGUUUCUUCUACUCGAUCGCGACUCUUCUCCUGCGAUCGCAAUGCACAAAUACCUGGGCAGGCAGAAUAUAUCUCAAAGUCGAGUGUUUCACUAUUAUUAUUAUAUUUUGACUUCUAGAGCUCGGUUCUUGGCGGUUUUUGAAGGGAUUUUUACCUGGGCGACUUGGGUAAGGGAUUCUUACUCGGUUUAGACUAAUUUCUAUGAAUCUUCUCUUAAAUUCAUCCUUUAAUUUUGGAAUUUUGGUAUGAAUUGAGGGAAAAAUUCUUAGACCUAGAGAUUGGGUUUUAAUUGGGUAUCUGACAUAGGAUUGAGAUAAUUUUGAUAUGGUUAGACUUGUGAGAGUGUGAGAAUUCUAAAAAUAUUAAUUUAUCUGAUUUUGAGACAUGGGCCCGUGGGGCAUUUUGGUUAUUUUACAUAAUUUCGUGUAUUAACGUAGAAUUUAACUGUAAAUCAGUUACUCGAAGUGUUAUUUACAUUAUUAAGUUUAACUGAAUAGAUUUGGGCAAUUUGGAGUCGAGUACUCAUGGCGAGAAUGUGGUUUUUAGUUGGUUUUGAGUCGGUUCGAGGUAAGUAUCUUGCCUAACCUUUUGUGGGGGACUCCCCCUUAGGAUUGGAGUCUUCUCUGCUGAUUGUAAUCCGCUUACGCGAGGUGGCGAGUGCGUGUUUGGACUUAUUUUUGUAACAAAUUGGCCUUCUUAAGUUCUUAGGUCCUUAUAUUCACUGAGUAUGAAGUUGUUCUUGAUAUGAUUGAAUUUCCCUAUUACUAGUUUCACCUCUACAUGUUUUACUUGGAAUUAAUUGCUUUAUGGUUCAUUCUUAUUGCCUAAUUAACUCUUACUUAGCUUAAUUGACGAUCUUUACCCCUUCUAUUGUCACAAUCAUCUUUCAUAACUGCUUGUCUUUAUGAGAAAUUAUUAUUAUCAUCUGUCAUGUAAUUGUUUAGUCUUAAUUGAGGAUACGAUUAUCCUUGCGCUGCUCAAAAUUAAUUGCUUUAUAAUUCAUUCUUAUUGCCUAAUUGACUCUUACUUUGCGUAACUUAAGAUCUUUACCCCUUCUAUUGUCAUGAUUAUCUUUCAUAACUGCUUAUCUUUAUUGGAAAUUAUAAUUAUCUCUCAUGUAAUUAUUUAGUCUUAAUUGAGGUUACGAUUAUCUUCCCGCUGUUUAUCCUUAAUUGAAAUUGUUGUAUAUCCUUCGUAACUUGCCCAACUUUAAAAGAAGUUUAGAUAUCCUAUGUUUAGUUGACAUUCCUUAUUUGAAAUUAUUUGAUUCAUGUUAACUUUCUUGUUGUUGAACUACAUAUUAUGGAAUCGUUACUUCACAUUAUUUUCUCCCUUGUUGAGUUGUUAUUAUUACGUUUAGUAUUCUCUAUUGCAGUUAUUCCUUGUGAGUUAUUCUAAUCGAC
rnacentral:lncRNA from 1 species